rnacentral:rRNA from 1 species
CCCUGCCAUUUGUACACACCGCCCGUCGCUGCCCGGAACUGAGCCAUUUCGAGAAAAAUGGGGACUGAUUGCUUGUGAGCACGCAAGUGCUUCUUGCAGUCGGAAACCAUCUUGAUCGGUAUGGCUUGAACCGG